GAUGAAGAACGUAGCGAAAUGCGAUAAGUAGUGUGAAUUGCAGAAUUCCGUGAAUCAUCGAAUCUUUGAACGCACAUUGCGCCUUCUGGUAUUCCGGAAGGCAUGCCUGUUCGAGAGUCAUUAACAACCGUUUCGAUCCCUUUCUUUCAGAAAUUACAAAGAGGAAAAGGGUUUGGUUAUGGUGGAGGAGGGAAAGGGAGCGUUUAGCCUGUAAAAAAAGAGGCUGUGUUCCGCCUCCCCCCCAAAAUUGUACAGGCGGUCGUGUGCGCCCACGCAUCGAGGUGUUGUAAAAGCUGCCACGGCACUUUUCACCUGUGCAGUGCGAGAUUGGCCAGCCGGUUUAAAAACCCCUCCAAACAAUCAAAGGUUGACCUCGGAUCAGGUAGGGAUACCCGCUGAUCUUAAGCAUAUCAAUAAGCGGAGGA
rnacentral:misc_RNA from 1 species